rnacentral:rRNA from 1 species
UACGUAGGGGGCAAGCGUUGUCCGGAUUUAUUGGGCGUAAAGAGCGUGUAGGCGGCCAGGUAGGUCCGUUGUGAAAACUCGAGGCUCAACCUCGAGACGUCGACGGAAACCAUCUGGCUAGAGUCCGGAAGAGGAGAGUGGAAUUCCUGGUGUAGCGGUGAAAUGCGCAGAUAUCAGGAAGAACACCCGUGGCGAAGGCGGCUCUCUGGACCACAACUGACGCUGAGGCGCGAAAGCUAGGGGAGCAAACAGG